CAAUGGCCAUGAGUUUGCGCAAGCUCUGGGAGUUGGUGAUGGACGGAGAAGCCUGGCAUGCUGCAGUCCAUGGGGUUGCAAAGAGUGAGACACAGCUGAGCAACUGAACUGAUGGACUGACCCUGAUACUCAGUUCUCUUUCAUUAGUCCGAUUGCCUAGACCCAGGUCCGUAUGGAAAUUCAGUUUAUAAGAGAUGACCUCUCAAGUCACUUGGGAAAAGAUGGAUGUUGCGAUAAAUGUUAUUGAAAUAACUAGAUAACCAUCUGGAAAAAGAUAAAAUUAGAUCCAUAGCCUAAACUACCAAAAUACCAAAAGAGAGAUAAAUGUAAAAAAUAAAACAAUAAAAGUAGUUGUUCAUUGAUGUAGUCAAACAGAAUACAUCGGCUUUGUAGCUGAUUUUUGGACUGGGAUUUUUUUUUCACGGUCUAUAUAGUUCCCCGUAUUGCUAAAAAUUGGGAGUUUUUUCAUUCCUUUUUGUGAGUUCCAAACAUUUUGUUAAAUUUCGUCUUCUGAUGUAACAGCUUCCAUUUUAUUUGUCCAUAUGAGUUUAUACCUUUUUCCUCCCCUAUAAUUUCAGUAAGCUCAUGGAAAGGAAAGUUAGCUAAGUGUGAUAUUUAAUUGCAUACUUAGCAGAUACCCUUUUCUUCCUCAGUUUUCCUGUCUCCACAGAGCUGAUUUUUUUCUCAUUUUUUUUAAACGGCUCUCUGUCACGAUGGAGGCUUUUUAAAUAAUUGGGACUUGUUCUCUCUUCUAAAAUAAUGGAUUAAGAAGCUGCUUGGGAAUUUUGUGUACCUGGAUGGAACAUACCUGCUCUCUGGGUUGACAUUAGGGUGCCUGGACAGGGAACCAGCUUUUCCAAGGCAGGGAGGGAUGGUAAGGAUAAGCUAGGCUGUGCUGCAAUGACAAACACCUUUCCAACUGGCACUGGCUUAAAACAACAAAGUUUAUUUCUCACAAGCUGUGUUUCCAUCAGGGGCUGUGUUCCUCAGACCACUCAGGACCCAGGCAGACAGUGGCACCAUCUGGGGGUGGGUCUGUUGUUUCAGGGGCAGAAAAAAAGAAUCUGGUGAGCCACAGGCUGUCUUUGAAUGCUUCUGUCAAGAAGUUCACAUUUCCUUGAUGCCAGAGAAGUCCCACGGCCAUGCCUCAAUCCAUUAAGAAUGUGUACUCUAAAGAGAGGCGCCAUAUUUGGGUGAGCAGUAAUGCUGUCUGGAUACAGAGGGCUCCUUGGAGAGAAACACUUGGAGUAGUUAUGGCCUGGCCAGGGGUAGGUGGAUACACACUUGGCUGGCACUCUGCUGGAUGCCAGGGGAGAAGGCAGGACAUGAUUAAGUAUUUUAUUUAUCUAUCACAGGAACGAACAGCUGGGGACUGCCAUUCGGCAGGCAAGGAACUCCUUCCUGUGACAUGCUUGGCACAGUAGGAAAACAUCAUUCCUGGCUUGCAGAGGGGAAGGGUGAAACCCUAAAACAUUUUUAAAAAUCAAAUUUUUCCUUCCUGAGCGUGAGUUAGGAAUCAAUGGUCCUUCUCACUACCCUUCCAGAAAAAUCACAGCUUCUGCAGUGAGUCUAUGUCUGUGUGAUAACUAACGCAAAAAUGCAAAAAGACGCCCCUUCCCCUUACACUCAGUGAACUGUGUGUAUCAGGGCCAGCCCGUUCCCCAAGAAUAUAGAAACAAUACCUUUCAUCCAACAGCUGGUUUUUGUUUUUGAGAAGACUACAGGCUCUUGCCGGUAAUAUGGCUUCUCUCUAGGGAGAAGGCUUAAAGUAAAAAGAACAUACAGUGAGUGUCUACAUUCCGAGGGAUCUGCGUUCAGUCCUUCUUUUGCCUUUUCUUUCUAUACACUUACAACUAUUCUAAAAAAAAAUCAAGUCUAUUUUUAAAAAAUAGUUUUUUUCAAUGGAAGGAGUUGGGGGAAAGUGUCAAGAGUUAACUAAUCAGGAACAUCCAGGAAUAGUCUUACUGUGUACAUCUAUUGAAAUUUGGCUGUGUUCUUAUUUCAGGACAGGGUCCAAGUCCUCCUCCCUGCCUCCAGGGCCUGCAUCUUGAUGGAAGUCUGCAUCCAGCGGGCAGGCAGGAACACAUCCUGAGUAGGUCUCAGUGGCGCAGAGAGGAGCGGGACCAGCAUUUGCCGUGGGCAACAACCCAGUGCUUGUCACUAGGAGCCAGGACGCAAAUGCGGGGGCAGCUACAUCCUGGAAAGGUGCCGAAGGAGAGUGAGGCACAGCCAUGUCACAUGUCCGAGACACAUGGGUGAGUGAGCAGGCAGGCCGCACAAUGUGAGCAGAAUGCUCACGUUUUGUAAAAGAGAAGUAGGUUGACAUAGUGAAACAGAAGGUGAUAUGCUGAAUAUUCACCAAGCUGCUAGCAGUGGUGAACUGAGAGAGGUGGGGACCAGGACACGUGCACUUUAUAAAUUA